CAGCCGCCGCGGGAAAACGUAGGUGGCAAGCGUUGUCCGGAAUUAUUGGGCGUAAAGGGUGCGUAGGCGGUUUCGUAAGUCUUAUGUGAAAUCUAUGGGCUCAACCCAUAGUCUGCAUGGGAAACUGCGAGGCUUGAGGAUGGGAGAGGUGAGUGGAAUUUCCGGUGUAGCGGUGAAAUGCGUAGAUAUCGGAAGGAACACCUGUGGCGAAAGCGGCUCACUGGACCAUUUCUGACGCUGAUGCACGAAAGCUAGGGGAGCAAACAGGAUUAGAUACCCCGGUAGUCCCUGUCUCUUAUAC
rnacentral:rRNA from 1 species